rnacentral:rRNA from 1 species
UACGGAGGGUGCAAGCGUUAUCCGGAAUCACUGGGUUUAAAGGGUGCGUAGGCGGCUUGAUAAGUCAGAGGUGAAAGCCUUCCGCUUAACGGAAGAACUGCCUUUGAUACUGUCGAGCUUGAAAGAGGUUGAGGUUAGCGGAACGUGACAUGUAGCGGUGAAAUGCAUAGAUAUGUCACAGAACACCAAUUGCGAAGGCAGCUGACUGGACCUACUUUGACGCUGAGGCACGAAAGCGUGGGGAGCGAACAGG